UCGAUACCAAAAGUUUCUAAUACAGAACCAAUGAAAGAUUUAUUGUAGACACAAAACAAUCAGUACCGCUACAGUACUCAAACAGUCGUUGCUACAGUGCCGCUACAGUACUCAAUAGUUAUUGCUACAGUACUCAACAGUGUUGCUACAGUACUCUGCCACCCCCCCUAAGUUCAAGAAAAUGGGAAAAAGAGAAAGGGGGUGGAGACAUGUGCUGCACACUCCCCUAUCCCCUCUUGAGCUUGCUGCACCUUUUCUUUUCCCACGCCUAUGCAGCAGGCUGCCAUGCCCAAGUACACCUAAGUAUACAAGCUCCCAGCCAAACCACCUCGUCAUUCAAAACAGCCAACAUUGUUGCAUUCUCUUCAUUCUUCAUUUGAGGACUGCACAAGGAGAAGUGAGCCUUUAAUUCAUCCUACCAAGUAUUCUCAAGGUAAGCUUGUCUUCAAUGCUCCACCUUCUUCCCUUAUUCCACCUGCAUUAAUGCAAGAACAACUUUAUUAUUCAGUUCGAUCUGCUGCUUCAUUUAACUCCAACCACAACAGCCAACAAACACCAAAGCAAGCAUCAUUCAAGGUAUUUAUACUACCUCAGUUAUCCAAUCGAGUUUGCAUUCAUACCAACGAGCAUAAUCAUGUUUUACCACUACAUCAAACAGUCCAUGUUAUGUAUAGCAAUAGAAAGACUUAUGUGUAUACUGCCACUGCACUCUAGAAC
rnacentral:lncRNA from 1 species